rnacentral:rRNA from 1 species
UACGUAGGGUGCGAGCGUUAAUCGGAAUUACUGGGCGUAAAGCGUGCGCAGGCGGUUUUGCAAGCCGGAUGUGAAAUCCCCGGGCUCAACCUGGGAAUGGCAUUCGGGACUGCAAGGCUGGAGUGCGGCAGAGGAGACUGGAAUUCCUGGUGUAGCAGUGAAAUGCGUAGAUAUCAGGAGGAAUACCGAUGGCGAAGGCGGCUCUCUGGGACGGUACUGACGCUGAGACGCGAAAGCGUGGGGAGCGAACAGG